AAAAAGGUAAGCUAAGUAAGCUAAUGGGUUCAUACCCCACAUAUAGAAGUUUUAGCCUUCUCCUUUUUA
rnacentral:tRNA from 1 species